GCGCAGCAGGCGCAAAACCUUCGCAAUGCGGGAAACCGCGACGAGGGGACUCCCAGUGCCUACGCUCAGCGUAGGCUGUUCCCGAGCCUAGAAAGCUCGGGGAGUAAGGGCUGGGUAAGACGGGUGCCAGCCGCCGCGGUAAUACCCGCAGCCCGAGUGGUGGCCACUAUUAUUGGGCCUAAAAGCGUCCGUAGCCGGCCCGGUAAAAUGCCUGGGUAAAAUCGUGAGGCCUAAACCUCACGAAUUCCGGGUAGACUGCCGGGCUAGGGACCGGAGGAGGGAGAGGGUACUCCAGGGGUAGGGGUGAAAAUCCUGUAAAUCCCUGGAGGACCACCGGUGGCGAAGGCGCUCUCCUAGGACGGGUCCGACGGUGAGGGACGAAAGCCAGGGGAGCGAACCGGAUUAGAUACCCGCGUAGU
rnacentral:rRNA from 1 species